GUCCAAAAACCUGCGCCAAAACGGAAACGGCGCUGGGGGGGCCGCCCCACAACUUAUGGGGCAGAGCCACUUAGGGGGCAGCCCCACAACUUAUGGGGCUGAGCUACUUAGGGGGCAGCCCCACAACUUAUGGGGCAGAGCCACUUAUGGGGCAGGCUUCACUUAUGGGUCCCACCCCACACUUAUGGGGCAGAGCUACUUAUAGGGUCAGACCCACACUUAUGGGGCUGAGCUACUUAUGGGGCAGCCCCACAAUUUAUGGGGCAGAGCUACUUAUGGGGCAGCCCCACAACUUAUGGGGCAGAGCAGCACUUAUGGGGCAGCCCCACAACUUAUCGGGCAGAGCCACUUAUGGGGCAGCCCCACACUUAUGGGUCUGACCCACACUUAUGGGGCAGCCCCACAACUUAUGGGGCAGAGCUACUUAGGGGGCAGCCCCACAACUUAUGGGGCAGAGCUACUUAGGGGGCGGCCCCACAACUUAUGGGGCAGAGCUACUUAUGGGGCAGCCCCACAACUUAUGGGGCAGAGCCACUUAGGGGGCGGCCCCACAACUUAUGGGGCAGAGCCACUUAUGGGGCAGCCCCACAACUUAUGGGGCUGAGCUACUUAUGGGGCAGCCCCACAACUUAUGGGGCAGACCUACUUAGGGGGCAGCCCCACAACUUAUGGGGCAGAGCAGCACUUAGGGGGCAGGCUUCACUUAUGGGUCCCACCCCGCACUUAAGGGGCAGAGCUACUUAUGGGGCAGCCCCACAACUUAUGGGGCAGAGCUACUUAUGGGGCAGGCUUCACUUAUGGGUCCCACCCCACACUUAUGGGGCAGAGCUACUUAUGGGGCAGCCCCACACUUAUGGGGCAGAGCUACUUAUGGGGCAGCCCCACACUUAUGGGGCAGGCUUCACUUAUGGGUCCCACCCCACACUUAUGGGGCAGCCCCACACUUAGGGGGCAGAGCCACACUUAUGGGGUCAGGCCUCACUUAUGGGGCAGCCCCACACUUAUGGGUCCCACCCCACACUUAUGGGGCACAGCUACACUUAUGGGAUCAGACCCACACUUAUGGGGCAGACUUCACUUAUGGGGUCAGACCCACACUUAUGGGGCAGAGCUACUUAGGGGGCAGCCCCACAACUUAUGGGGCAGAGCAGCACUUAGGGGGCAGGCUUCACUUGUGGGGCAGAGGCACUUAUGGGGCAGCCCCACACAUAUGGGUCUGACCCACACUUAUGGGGCAGCCCCACACUUAGGGGGCAGGCUUCACUUAUGGGUCCCACCCCACACUUAUGGGGCAGAGCUCCUUAUGGGGCAGCCCCACAACUUAUGGGGCAGAGCUACUUAUGGGGCAGCCCCACACUUAUGGGGCAGGCUUCACUUAUGGGUCCCACCCCACACUUAUGGGGCAGAGCUCCUUAUGGGGCAGCCCCACACUUAUGGGGUAGACUUCACUUAUGGGUCCCACCCCACACUUAUGGGGCAGAGCUACUUAGGGGGCAGCCCCACACUUAUGGGUCCCACCCCACACUUGUGGGUCCUACCCUACAUCUAUGGGUCCCACCCCACACUUGUGAGUCCCGCCCCACAUCUAUGGGUCCCAUCCCAACUUAUGGGUCCCACCCCACACUUAUGGGCCAGCCCCACACUUAGGGGGCAGAGCUACUUAUGGGGCAGCCCCACACUUAUGGGUCCCACCCCACACUUGUGAGUCCCGCCCCACACUUAUGCGUCCCGCCCCACAUCUAUGGGUCCCAUCCCACAUCUAUGGGUC
ensembl:lncRNA